GACAGAGGGGGCGAGCGUUGUCCGGAGUCACUGGGCGUAAAGCGCGCGCAGGCGGCAACCUAAGUGUCGUGUGAAAGCCCCCGGCUCAACCGGGGGAGGCCAUGGCAAACUGGGUCGCUCGAGCUGCGGAGAGGCCCCUCGAAUUGCCGGUGUAGCGGUGAAAUGCGUAGAGAUCGGCAGGAAGACCAAGGGGGAAGCCAGGGGGCGGGCCACAGGCUGACGCUGAGGCGCGACAGCGUGGGGAGCAAACCGG
rnacentral:rRNA from 1 species